CUAUCCAUGGCCAGGUUGAAGGUGUGGUAACACACACUGGAGGACCGAACCGACUAGUGUUGCAAAAUUAGCGGAUGAGCUGUGGAUAGGGGUGAAAGGCUAAACAAAUCUGGAGAUAGCUGGUUCUCCCCGAAAACUAUUGAGGUAGUGCCUCGUGUAUGACUCCAGGGGGUAGAGCACUGUUAUGGCUAGGGGGACAUGGCGUCUUACCAAACCAUGGCAAACUCCGAAUACUUGGAAGUUUGAGCACGGGAGACAGAGCACCGGGUGCUAACGUCCGGACUCAAAAGGGAAACAACCCAGACCGCCGGCUAAGGUCCCUAAUAUUGACUAAGUGGAAAACGAAGUGGGAAGGCUAAGACAGUCAGGAAGUUGGCUUAGAAGCAGCCAUCCUUCAAAGAAAGCGUAAUAGCUCACUGAUCGAGUCUUCCUGCGCGGAAGAUGUAACGGGGCUAAGUCAAUAACCGAAGCCGCGGAUUCACGACUUGUCGUGAGUGGUAGGGGAGCGUUCUGUAAGCCUGCGAAGGCGGUUCGCAAGGACUGCUGGAGGUAUCAGAAGUGCGAAUGCUGACAUGAGUAACGUUAAAGCAGGUGAAAAGCCUGCUCGCCGUAAGCCCAAGGUUUCCUGCUCUACGUUCAUCGGAGCAGGGUGAGUCGGCCCCUAAGGCGAGGCUGAGAAGCGUAGCUGAUGGGAACAAGGUUAAUAUUCCUUGACCGCCGUUGAGUGCGAAGGGGGGACGGAGUGUUGAAGAUCAUCCGGGUGUUGGAUGUCCCGGUUUGUGAACGUAGGAGGCCGGCAGGCAAAUCCGCCGGCGUAUCUCCGAGGUGAAGCAUCGAGGUCCGUAUGGACCGAAGUGAUCGGAUGGGCUCCCAGGAAAAGCCUCUAAGCUCCAGCUCAACGGGACCGUACCGCAAACCGACACUGGUGGGCGAGCUGAAUAUGCUCAGGCGCUUGAGAGAACUCAGGAGAAGGAACUCGGCAAAUUGACACCGUAACUUCGGGAUAAGGUGUGCCUCGGUAGCGUGAAGGAAGAAACAUCCGGAGCGUGAAGAGGUCUCAGAGAAUCGGUGGCUGCGACUGUUUACUAAAAACACAGCACUCUGCAAAGACGAAAGUCGACGUAUAGGGUGUGAUGCCUGCCCGGUGCUGGAAGAUUAAUUGAUGGGGUGCAAGCUCCUGAUCGAAGUCCCAGUAAACGGCGGCCGUAACUAUAACGGUCCUAAGGUAGCGAAAUUCCUUGUCGGGCAAGUUCCGACCUGCACGAAUGGCAUAACGAUGGCCACACUGUCUCCUCCUGAGACUCAGUGAAGUUGAAGUGUUUGUGAUGAUGCAAUCUCCCCGCGGCUAGACGGAAAGACCCCAUGAACCUUUACUGUAGCUUUGCAUUGGACUUUGAACCGAUCUGUGUAGGAUAGGUGGGAGGCUGUGAAACCGGGACGCCAGUACCGGUGGAGCCGUCCUUGAAAUACCACCCUGAUUUGUUUGAGGUUCUAACCUAGGUCGGUAAUCCCGAUCGGGGACCGUGCAUGGUAGGCAGUUUGACUGGGGCGGUCUCCUCCUAAAGGGUAACGGAGGAGUGCGAAGGUACGCUAGGUACGGUCGGAAAUCGUGCUGAUAGUGCAAUGGCAAAAGCGUGCUUGACUGCGAGACCCACAAGUCGAGCAGAUACGAAAGUAGGUCAUAGUGAUCCGGUGGCUCUGUAUGGAAGGGCCAUCGCUCAACGGAUAAAAGGUACUCUGGGGAUAACAGGCUGAUACCGCCCAAGAGUUCAUAUCGACGGCGGUGUUUGGCACCUCGAUGUCGGCUCAUCUCAUCCUGGGGCUGUAGCCGGUCCCAAGGGUAUGGCUGUUCGCCAUUUAAAGAGGUACGUGAGCUGGGUUUAAAACGUCGUGAGACAGUUUUGUCCCUAUCUGCCGUGGGCGCUGGAAGAUUGACGGGGGCUGCUCCUAGUACGAGAGGACCGGAGUGGACUCACCUCUGGUGUACCGGUUGUCACGCCAGUGGCAUUGCCGGGUAGCUAUGUGGGGAAGAGAUAACCGCUGAAAGCAUCUAAGCGGGAAACUUGCCUGAAGAUAAGUCUUCCUGGAGGCUUGACCUCCCUAAAGAGUCGUUCGAGACCAGGACGUUGAUAGGUUGGGUGUGUAAGCGCUGUGAGGCGUUGAGCUAACCAAUACUAAUUGCUCGUGCAGCUUGAUCC
rnacentral:rRNA from 1 species